AUGUUAAAGGGCCGCGGUAUUUUGACCGUGCGAAGGUAGCAUAAUAAUUAGUCUUUUAAUUGAAGGCUUGUAUGAAUGGUUGGACAAAAAGCAAGCUGUCUCAACUUUAAAAAUUGAAUUUGACUUUUAAGUGAAAAGGCUUAAAUAAAUCAGAGGGACGAUAAGACCCUAUAAAGCUUUAUUGUGUGUAACUUUAAAUAAUUAUUGUUAAGUUCAUCUUAUUUAACGUUACAACAAUUUCGUUGGGGCGACGAGAAUAUAAAAUAUUUAACUGUUCUUAAAUGUAGCAAUUGGUGUAAUACAAUUAUUUUUGUAGUUAAAUGAUCCUUUUAUAAAGAUUAAAAGUUUAAGUUACUUUAGGGAUAACAGCGUAAUCUAUCUUAAGAGUCCUAAUCGACAGAAAGGAUUGCGACCUCGAUGUUGAAUUAAAAUUCCUUUAUGGCGUAGCAGUUAUAGUAAGGAGGUCUGUUCGACCUUUAAAAUUUUACAUGAUUUGAGUUCAGACCGGCGUAAGCCAG
rnacentral:rRNA from 1 species